CCCAUCUCCCCUCUCCGUGCUACUUGCAGUAAAUAAAGCAGCGGAGUAUUUAUUUUUUUGUUAAAACUUGCCUCAGGAAUGUUGUCUUGUUUUGAAGUCCUCAUCCUGUUCUGUGGGGUCCUAUCUGUCCGUCCCGGGGAGGAAUGUGAGGAAUGGCUGCGUAGAGACAGAGACACAUCACCUGGGACAUGCCAGACGACUGUGCCUGACCACGAGCCACAACUGGGUGGAGGAAUGUGACAAACUUCAAUGUCACUGACGUUUCUGUCUUUUUGGAUCAUAACUGGACCGAGAAGAAAUGAGCCGUGAUUGUUAGAAGAUGGAAAAGACCACAGCGUCACUGUGAUUCAGAUUAAUACAAUAUUUGUGUAUUCAAUGACUCAAUACAGAAUACUUUUUGGGGAAAUGACACUGUAGGUGAUGUAUGUUUUGCUUGGACAUUGUAAUUUCGUAAUGGCUGUUUACACAGGGCUAGGCGUCACACACUGUAUCUAUACAUUAAGAAGCUCAAGUGUUACUGUUUCUUCAUUACAUUACUCAUCGGCGGUCACAGCGUUGUGUUUCCUUCAGGGUUUUCCCUCUGUUGUGUUAUCUUGUGUGAUCGUUUUCCUCAAGUUUCUCUCAAUGACCCUUUCAUAGAGGCGGCCAUUGUUCCCACUGCGCUAUGUGAUCCAACAAGACAGGAAUGAACAAUCUUUCUCUUUCUUGGUUUACCUCGGCUGCCGGCUCAUUUGAAGUUGUGUGGAUAAAUGACAAUGGUUGUUUUGUCAAACAUACUCGAUGCAACUAUAUUUAGAGAAUGAAUGAUUGCAUCUCAGGUUUCUUUCAGCGUUGUGACAGUCGAAGAUAUUAAACUUGUUCCAAUGAACAACAUGACACUCGUCUGUGGAAGAACUGACUCAGUCUUAAGUUCUGAUGAAAGGAAAUUAAUUAUUUAUUGUAUUUCUGUGUUGAAAAAGAGUGUGACGGUGAAUUCAGAUUAAUUAUUUGUUAACUUGGGAAUUCUAAUCAUACUUUCAUAAUUCCAGGAAGUUAUAAAACGAUGAUCCAAUUGGCCAAACCUCCUCUACAGAAGGGGAAGCAGUCGUCUCCUCUGUCGUCUCCUCUGUCGUCUCCUCUGUCGUCUCCUCUGUCCUCACUUCAAGACACCAGUGGAUGGAGACAUGACGAGAACAACUGAAGCAGCCUCACAGCUCCCACUGGGAGCUCAGGUCAUUCUUUUACAGCCAGUCCGUCCAUAGCUUUGGAUUUAUUCCUCAUCCCCUCAGGACGAGCCCGACCACCAUCCAGCCUCGGUGCAGAUCCCCCAAGGAACCGAUUUGUAAAUGUCCAUUACUCAGCGAGGACACAGGGUCCUGGCUGCUGAUCCCUGGCUGCUGCCUGUCUUCAGACUGCAGAUGCUUCAGGACGGGGGGACAGCUGUCCCAACAAUCCUCAACGGCUCAGGGAGAUGUGUCAUCCUCGUGUCCCAUAUUGAUUCAAUUUCAGCCAUGUCUUAGCAUGUGUGACCGACUGCAGUUAAUGGGAUGUAUGGAGAAAUAAACG